rnacentral:rRNA from 1 species
UACGUAGGGUGCAAGCGUUGUCCGGAAUUAUUGGGCGUAAAGAGCUCGUAGGCGGUCUGUCGCGUCGGCUGUGAAAUCCCGGAGCUCAACUCCGGAAUUGCCAUUGAAACUGUGAGACUGGAGUACGAGAGAGGUGAGUGGAAUUCCCAGUGUAGAGGUGAAAUUCGUAGAUAUUGGGAAGAACACCGGUGGCGAAGGCGGCUCACUGGCUCGUAACUGACGCUCAGGCGCGACAGCGUGGGGAUCAAACAGG